GAGCAUUGACCUCCUAUGAAUCAGGUGGUCACAGUUCGAUUCCCAGGAAGAGCAUAUGCCUGGGUUCUGGGCUCGAUCUCCGGCAGGGGGGCGUGCAGGAGGCAGCCGAUCAAUGAUUCUCUCUCAUCAUUGAUAUUUCUCUCUCUCUUUCCCUUCCUCCCCGAAAUCAAUAA